GCCGGCCCGGGGCUCUACGCCGACAUCGGCAAGAAGGCCAGAGAUCUCCUCAACAGGGACUACACCACCGGCCAGAAGUUCACCUUCACCACCACCGCCGCCAACGGAGCCACAAUUACUAGUUCAAGCACAAAGAAAAAUGAAGCUAUCUUGGCUGACCUCCAGACCCAGGUGAAGAUCAAGAAUUUCACAGUGGAUGUGAAAGCAACUUCGGACUCAAGUGUUGUAACUACAAUCACUGUUCCUGAGCUGUACACACCAGGCUUGAAGGGAGUUCUUUCUCUUCCUUUCCCCUACCAGAAGUCUACUCCUGGGAAGGCUGAACUCCAGUACUUGCAUCCCCAUCUUGGCAUCAACGGCAGUGUUGGCCUGAAUUCAAACCCUCUUGUUAACUUUUCUGGUGUCAUUGGGACUAAGGCUUUUGCUUUUGGUGUUGAUGUUGCAUUUGACACUGCCUCUGGUGACUUCACCAAGUACAAUGCUGGACUGAGCCACACUAACCAAGAUCUUACUGCUUCGUUGAAUCUGAACAACAAGGCAAACACCCUGGCUGCUUCCUACUACCACCAGGUGCAGCGCACCACUGCUGUGGGAGCAGAGAUCGCUCACAGCUUCUCAAGCAACGAGAACACCAUCACCAUUGGGACGCAGCACGAGCUGGACCCCCUGACCACUGUGAAGGGGCGUUACAACAACUUCGGCGUCGCAAGUGCGCUCAUCCAGCACGCGUGGAGGCCCAAGUCUCUCAUCACCUUCUCCACCGAGGUUGACACCAAGGCCAUUGAGAAGAGCCCCAAGUUUGGGCUGGCCCUGUCACUCAAGCCCUGA
rnacentral:rRNA from 1 species